rnacentral:tRNA from 1 species
UGCAAUAUAGUGUAAUUUUAGGUAACACAUAAGACUCAUGAUCUUAUACUAUACGUUCAAAUCGUAUUAUUGCUU